AAGAAAAUCAUCACAAUAUCUUUGCCGCCAAAUGCUGACCGAAGAAAUUUAAUUGACCUCCUUACCCGCAUUGCAUGUCUAACUCCUAAGUUUCUAUUGGAAUGAUCCUAUUAUGGAUGACAAAUGUCUCAAACUUGGCCAAAGUGUCCCCUUGUAUGAACAUUAUCUAUUGUAGUUACUAGAACUAUAGAGAUACCGACCAAAGCAGCACCCUAUUUGGAUUGUGUUAGUUUGUGCCUUCACUUGAUUUCACUACAGAGUUAAUUAACAGGACGAUUUCUCUUGGCAGAGGCUCUCAACUGACUUCUACAUAACUGACAAGAACUCUGGUAUUAGAGCUUUUGUCAAGGCUGGACCUGAAUCUAGAGUUAUCCCGCUGGUCAUAGAGAGCAGACUGGUUACAACCACCAAAAACUGUAAGGUUUUGGCUUCUCAUUUGAGAAAAUGGUUAAGGGACAGGAAUCUUUCAUCUGAAGCUCGUUUACUACGUCUAGAAGAAGGAUACAUUAAGGAAGGUAGCUUGCUUAGUGUAUUUGGGAUUUUGCAAAGGAAUAGUGAUGUCAUGGUGGUUACUCCGCCAGAGGAGCUCAUUUCUACUGGCUGUCUAUGGCAAAAGAUGCUUCUCCCUGUUGAUGUUGAUGGGCUGAUCCUUGGAAUCCCAUAGUCCGCCGAUUUUGCAACCAAUUCUAACUUUUUAGACACGCAAUGGAGGAGAUAUGGGCAUAAACCUUUGCAAAGACUCUAACAAUGCUGCAUCACAUUUUGGUUGUUGCCAUUCGCAUGUACAGCAACUUGCCUAAAGGAAGGCUUGUUUUUUGGCUGAGAAAUUCAGGAGUUAGUGCUACCGUCAUUUUCAGAUAUUUUUCACCGAGUACAUGUCAAUUAUCUUGUUAGAACAUGGCCAGGUUUACAUUGCAAGUGUUCGUUAUUUGCUGCUGUCCUCGCUUUCAGUAUGUGCUAUGGUUAAUCAAACUGGAAUUGAGCUACAAAAGGUCAAAAACUAAUCCCCAUUUUUCAAACAGUUUAUGUACAUCUUUUCCCUUGGCACAAUCAAAGGGUAUUUUUGGAGC